ACGGGCGCUACAGCCGCUCUGUGCCCACCACUGUGCCCACAUGACGACGACGACGACGACGAUGGUGGUGUUGGUGUUAAUGAAGCGGAAUGGAGUCGAGCAGGGUGGACUAAUUCUGCACCAUGAAUGACAGGUACCACAAGGCGGCCCGGGACGGCUACCUGGACCUGCUGAAGGAGGCAACUCGGAAGGAUCUCAACGCUCCGGAUGAGGAUGGCAUGACACCGACGUUAUGGGCUACUUAUCACGGCAACCUGGAGGCUCUGCGGCUCAUCGUGGCGAGGGGGGGAAACCCUGACAAGUGUGACAUAUGGGGGAACACGCCACUCCACCUGGCAGCUGCCAAUGGUCACCUCAGCUGCCUUUUCUUCCUGGUGUCUUUUGGUGCCAACAUAUGGUGCCUGGACAACGACUACCACACGCCGUUGGACAUGGCUGCCACAAAGAAUCACAUGGAUUGCGUCCGCUACCUAGAUUCCAUCGCAUCCAAGCAGACAGGCCUCAAUCCCAAGCUGGUCAGCAAGCUGAAGGACCGGGCAUUUCGUGAUGCCGAGCGACGGAUCAAAGAAUGCGUGAAGAUGCAGAAGAAACACCACAAACGCAUGGAGCGAAAGUUUCACAAGGAGGCUUCUGAGGCUUCUGCGUCAGAUGUUAUGAGUUUUUCCAGUUACACCAGCAGCUCUCUUAGCCACAAGCUGCGCAACUUCAAUGCAGCAACCGUCAGUGUGCCAUAUUCUCAGGCUACUCUCCAUGCCACAAACCGAGGGAAGACAAAGAUCCAGAAGAAGCUAGAGAGGAGGAAACAAGGAGAUGGGACCUUUAAAAUCUAUGAAGAUGGAAGGAAGAGUGUGCGCUCCCUCUCUGGACUUCAGCUGGGCAAUGAUGUCAUGUUUGUCAAACAGGGGACAUAUGUAAACCCAAAGGACCGUGGUCGCCGCAAUGUUCGUGACAUGUUCCCCAGAGACAAUGAUGAUGCCAUUUCACGUGCCAUGAGCGAGCCGGACCUCCACGGUCCCGAUGUGGACUAUUCUGAGAUCAGCACCGACUCUGGACAUGAUUCUCUGUUCAACCGGCCCGGUCUGGGCACCAUGGUCUUUAGGAGGAACUACGUGAGUGGGGGGAUGUUUGACCUUGGUGGUCGGGACGAGGCAAGUGUGGACCGGUCAGGCAAUAAUGUGCGUUUACGCAGUCGGCUGCAGCAAUACCCGAGUCUGGAUGCAGACAGCAUUGGCAGCGCACGCAGCCUACAGGAGAGGAAUGUGGAGGACCUGCCUUGGGAAGAAGUAGAAUUAGGGCUGGACGAUGAUGAUGAGCCUGAAACGAGCCCUCUGGAAGUUUUCCUAGCCACACAAAGCAUGAGUGAGUUUUUCUCCAUCUUCAAGAGGGAGAAGAUUGACCUAGAAGCGCUGUUGCUGUGCUCUGACCAUGACCUUAAGAGUAUCCACAUCCCCUUAGGACCGAGGAAAAAGAUCUUAGAUGCGUGUAAAAGACGGCUGGAGAGCAUAGAGGACCCGGACUGCAUCGAGGACACAGAACUGAGCUAGACAUGAGGAAUGAGGGCGGAGUCACAGAUGGAGUGAGGCAGACAGACGAGACGUUAACUUACAUCAAAGUUAAGAAAUGAUAAUAAAAGUUGUUGUAGACUGUCCUCCUGCUGUGCGCUCAUCCAGCCUUAAAGGUCAGUGGAGCAUUGUUGAGCGAAUGUCACGUACGGACAGGGAGGACUUCAUGAUUCACCUCUCCUGGUAGCUCAGUGGUAACAAAGCAGAAAGGAUACCGUCAAGAUCAAUAUGUCAAGCAAGAGGAGACGAACGUGAGAUAAAUUCUUAACAGGAUUCUUGUACAGCGUCUUGUGAGCCUUGGGAGGAUCACUGAAAAUAUCUGUGUAUGAUGGUUGGUUGGACUCCCCUGCACUGCAUGGUUUAACAAACUGAAAGACAAUCAUCAGAGUGUAGUGCUGUGCAGUGUCAUUGUAUGCCACAUGGCAGAGUUAACAAAGAGUUGAUUGUGGGGUCUGUGUCCCCUGAAUGUGUUCGCCCCUGUGGGGUAAGUCCUACCACCUCAUGUGCCUGCAUUGCUUGCGCCUAUGCAUUUGUUUAAAAGUGUCUUCUGUCAUAAAAAUCAUUGACAUUAACUUCAUCAUAACUUUCCAAGUAUCUUUUUGCAAUAACAACAUUUUGAGCAACAUUUUCACUCCACCUUUCAUCUCUGUACACGUUUACAUAUAGGAAGCCAUGUCAGUCCAAGUGUGGCUCACUGGCAAUGCAGGCCAACUGUUCACUGAUAUCACUGUACUGAUUUACUGUAGUGUUGUAAACUAUGUGAAAACACAGCAUCUUUAGAUUAUUUUAUAAUGCACAAUAUAACAUAUAGUUUAUUUUGAAUGUUCAGUCCAUGUAUAAUUAUAAACCUUUGUAUAUCACUCAUGUCAUUCUUGAUAACAUGACAGUCUUCCAACAAUUUGUAUCUUGAGUAAUUUUUUAAAUAAUAUACAUCUACAGCACAGCAUAUGUCAAUGUUUACUAUCGCAACUUUUUAACAUUUUAA